CUCAGGUGAUCAGCCCACCUCAGCCUCCCAAAGUGCUGGGAUUACAGGCGUGAGCCACUGUGCCCAGCCGAGCUUGUUUGUUUUUUAUGUGUCUCCAUCAACUCUUGCUUUUCUGCACUGGAUGCCAGUAUUUGGUGAGGUAAUACCUCAGAGAUAAUUUGCUCUCCUGGGCCUUCAAAUAGACUUAAAAACAGCAGCUUUAAUCCAGCUUUUCUGUUUGCUUGUCUGCACAGCUGGAAGCAGAAGUAAUUUACUACACAGUAAACACCAGGAACGCCCAAGAACUGGGAUAGACCCCAUCACCUUCGUCUCCAACCUCCAGGGGCACCAGAUGAAUCACCUCCUGUUUAUAUCUUUUUUUUUUUUUUUGAGACAGGGUUCUUGCUUUGUCACCCAGGCUGGAGUGCACUGGCAUGAUCACAGUGCACUGCAACCUUGAACUUCCAGGCUUAAGCAAUCCUCCCUCCUCAGCCCCUCAAGUAGCUGGGACUACAGGCACACACCACCAUACCCGGAUAAUUUUUAAAAUUUUUUUAUAAAGACAGGGUCUUACUGUGUUGCUUAGGUGGGUCUCAAACUCCUGAGUGCAAGGGAUCCUCCCAUCUCAGCCUCCCAAAGUGCUUGCAUUACAGGUGUGAGCCACUAUGCCUGGCUUCCUGUUUAUAUCUUCUGUAUUUUGCUUCUUUUUGGGAAGGCAUUCCCUGCAAGAUCCUGGUUGCCACACCUCAGGCCCUGAGUAGGUAAUAAGACACAGGGCUGUCUUCCACACCCUGGCCCCACUGAUUGAGUCCUACACAUAGGGAAGGUCCAGCUGCUGUCCUUUAAAACCAAACUGAGGCCAAGAUGGCAAAAUUUACGUUGCUAUAUCCUCUUCCUCCCCUCACCGUACUAUCCUCAUGGCCCUCCGUACCCGACUGCGGGGUGCUUCCUGGGACAGGCCUGACAUAAGGAAGUGUCAUUUCCCAACCCUCAGAUCCAGUACGCCCUUUUAGUAAGAAACAUUUCGGCCGGGCGCGGUGGCUCAUGCCUGUAAUCUCAGCACUUUGGGAGGCCAAGGUGGGUGGAUCAACUGAGGUCGGGAGUUCGAGACCAGCCUGACCAACAUGGAGAAACCCUGUCUCUACUAAAAAUACAAAAUUAGCUGGGCGUGGUGGCACAUGCCUGUAAUCCCAGCUACUAGGGAGGCUGAGGCAGGAGAAUCACUUGAACCUGGGAGGCAGAGGUUGCAGUGAGCCAAGAUCGUGCCAUUGCACUCCAGCCUGGGCAACAAGAGCGAAACUCCGUCUCAGAAAAAAAAAAAAAAAAGAAAAGGCCUCCUUUUACCAUCCUGAAAUGACAUUCACAUUCAUGUACAUUACAAGUCUUGCUGGUGUGGGACAGCCCCCCAGCACCAGACCUCUGCCCAUUCAGUGCCAAAGCACCCUCAAGGAGGAAUUCCCAAAACACACCCCGAGGGCAGGCAGGAACAGGACCCUUGUCUGUCUGGUUCAGCGCGGAAUCCCCACCACCUAAUACAAGACCCUGAAUGCACUA
rnacentral:lncRNA from 10 species